rnacentral:rRNA from 1 species
AACUUAAGCAUAUCAAUAAGCGGAGGAAAAGAAACCAACAGGGAUUGCCCCAGUAACGGCGAGUGAAGCGGCAACAGCUCAAAUUUGAAAUCUGGCACUAGCCCGAGUUGUAAUUUGUAGAGGAUGCUUUUGGUGAGGCGCCGCCCGAGUUCCCUGGAACGGGACGCCAUAGAGGGUGAGAGCCCCGUCUGGCUGGCCGCCGAGCCUCUGUAAAGCUCCUUCGACGAGUCGAGUAGUUUGGGAAUGCUGCUCAAAAUGGGAGGUAUAUGUCUUCUAAAGCUAAAUACUGGCCAGAGACCGAUAGCGCACAAGUAGAGUGAUCGAAAGAUGAAAAGCACUUUGAAAAGAGGGUUAAACAGUACGUGAAAUUGUUGAAAGGGAAGCGCUCGUGACCAGACUUGGGCUUGGCGAAUCAUCCAGGGUUCUCCCUGGUGCACUUUGCCUCGCCCAGGCCAGCAUCAGUUCGCCGCGGGGGAUAAAGGCUUCGGGAAUGUGGCUCCUCCGGGAGUGUUAUAGCCCGUUGCGUAAUACCCUGGGGCGGACUGAGGUUCGCGCAUCUGCAAGGAUGCUGGCGUAAUGGUCAUCGGCGACCCGUCUUGAAACACGGACCAAGGAGUCGUCUUCGUAUGCGAGUGUUCGGGUGUCAAACCCCUACGCGUAAUGAAAGUGAACGCAGGUGAGAGCUUCGGCGCAUCAUCGACCGAUCCUGAUGUUCUCGGAUGGAUUUGAGUAAGAGCAUACGGGGCCGGACCCGAAAGAAGGUGAACUAUGCCUGUAUAGGGUGAAGCCAGAGGAAACUCUGGUGGAGGCUCGCAGCGGUUCUGACGUGCAAAUCGAUCGUCAAAUAUGGGUCAUGGGGGCGAAAGACUAAUCGAA